rnacentral:rRNA from 1 species
GGGUCAGUAGGUUGGUCGUGCCACCGGUACGUACUGGUCUCACUGAUUCCUCCUUCCUGAAGAACCGUAAUGCCAUUAAUUUGGUGUUGCUGGGAAACAGGACUGUUACUUUGAAAAAUUUAGAGUGUUUAAAGCAAGCUAACGCUUGAAUACAUUAGCAUGGAAUAAUGAAAUAGGACGAUCGAUCAUAUUUUGUUGGUUUCUAGGAUUGACGUA